rnacentral:rRNA from 1 species
UACGUAGGGGGCUAGCGUUAUCCGGAAUUACUGGGCGUAAAGGGUGCGUAGGUGGUUUCUUAAGUCAGAGGUGAAAGGCUACGGCUCAACCGUAGUAAGCCUUUGAAACUGGGAAACUUGAGUGCAAGAGAGGAGAGUGGAAUUCCUAGUGUAGCGGUGAAAUGCGUAGAUAUUAGGAGGAACACCAGUUGCGAAGGCGGCUCUCUGGACUGUAACUGACACUGAGGCACGAAGGCGUGGGGAGCAAACAGGAUUAGAUACCCUGGUAGUCCCUGAG